UACGUAGGGGGCUAGCGUUGUCCGGAAUCAUUGGGCGUAAAGAGCGUGUAGGCGGCCCGGUAAGUCCGCUGUGAAAGUCGGGGGCUCAACCCUCGAAUGCCGGUGGAUACUGUCGGGCUAGAGUGCGGAAGAGGCGAGUGGAAUUCCUGGUGUAGCGGUGAAAUGCGCAGAUAUCAGGAGGAACACCAAUUGCGAAGGCAGCUCGCUGGGACGUAACUGACACUGAGGCGCGAAAGCGUGGGGAGCGAACAGG
rnacentral:rRNA from 1 species